rnacentral:rRNA from 1 species
GAUCAUGGCUCAGGAUGAACGCUGGCGGCGUGCUUAACACAUGCAAGUCGAACGAAGCACUUAAGUUUGAUUCUUCGGAUGAAGACUUUUGUGACUGAGUGGCGGACGGGUGAGUAACGCGUGGGUAACCUGCCUCAUACAGGGGGAUAACAGUUAGAAAUGGCUGCUAAUACCGCAUAAGACCACGGCACCGCAUGGUGCAGGGGUAAAAACUCCGGUGGUAUGAGAUGGACCCGCGU